rnacentral:tRNA from 1 species
GCUAUCUUGGCCGAGUGGUCUAAGGCGGUGGUUUUAAGUAGGUAAUCUUAUGAUCUAUCUUCAACACCAUUAUCGAGAGAUGCGCAGGUUCGAACCCUGCAGAUAGCA